rnacentral:rRNA from 1 species
CUACGGGAGGCAGCAGUGGGGAAUAUUGCACAAUGGGGGAAACCCUGAUGCAGCAACGCCGCGUGAGUGAUGAAGGUCUUCGGAUUGUAAAAUUCUGUCUUUGGGGACGAUAAUGACGGUACCCAAGGAGGAAGCCACGGCUAACUACGUGCCAGCAGCCGCGGUAAU